rnacentral:rRNA from 1 species
GUAUUGGCGUCCGCCAUGGUUUGUGCAGGAUAGGUGGGAGACUGUGAGACCGCCACGCUAGUGGUGGUGGAGUCAUUGUUGAGAUACCACUCUGGCUGUGGCGUGCGCCUGAACCUCGGCCCGUGAUCCGGGUCAGGGACAGUGCCUGGUGGGUAGUUUAACUGGGGCGGUUGCCUCCUAAAAGUAACGGAGGCGCUCAAAGGUUCCCUCAGCCUGGUCGGUAACCAUGGCGGACGCCAAUAC